UGCCCAGCAACUCCUAUCCCUACCUCCUCGUGGUACUGGCCGGGGUACGAGUAACCUUAGGGAAGAUAAAGUAACAAACCCCGGAAGGAACUUUGGUCGUAUGCUGACAGGGAAGG
rnacentral:ribozyme from 1 species